GGAAUAUUGCACAAUGGGCGCAAGCCUGAUGCAGCCAUGCCGCGUGUGUGAAGAAGGCCUUAGGGUUGUAAAGCACUUUCAGCGAGGAGGAAGGGUUCAGUGUUAAUAGCACUGUGCAUUGACGUUACUCGCAGAAGAAGCACCGGCUAACUCCGUGCCAGCAGCCGCGGUAAUACGGAGGGUGCAAGCGUUAAUCGGAAUUACUGGGCGUAAAGCGCACGCAGGCGGUUUGUUAAGUCAGAUGUGAAAUCCCCGAGCUUAACUUGGGAACUGCAUUUGAAACUGGCAAGCUAGAGUCUUGUAGAGGGGGGUAGAAUUCCAGGUGUAGCGGUGAAAUGCGUAGAGAUCUGGAGGAAUACCGGUGGCGAAGGCGGCCCCCUGGACAAAGACUGACGCUCAGGUGCGAAAGCGUGGGGAGCAAACAGGAUUAGAUACCCUAG
rnacentral:rRNA from 1 species